UAUGCAUUACUUUUGUCUUCUCAGGUGCAAACACAAUAAUAUUCAUGGUCAAUCUUUAGCCAUGUAUAUUUUUAUAAGCAACUGAAAAAAGCACAAAAGUCAGGGCAUGUCAAAACUUCUCCAGGACCCCAAAACCCCUUUAGACCUCAGAGGGUUUUACCCAGUUUAGGAACAAUUUGUCCAAACAAACAGAUAAAAUAAUAGACUUUUUAUUUCCAGUGUUGGCUUGUAGCUGGGAAUUUAUUGUGUUACCCCAGUAAUAUGAGUCUGCCUACAAAAGAAUCAAACUUGGUUUUUAAAAUAAAAAAGUCUUCUUAAAUAUAGUACAAUAAACUCUACAGUAUGUUUAUAGUUUGUGUGGAAACUGUAUCUUUAUCCUCUUUACCUGGUUUCUUAUUAUUCAUAUAUAUCUUUCAUUGUCUUCUCUAGUGCUGGCAGUAAAUAUUACUGUGUAAAUACUAUCUGUAUUUCAUUUUCCUCUUUCUGCAGUUAUGGAAAGCAACGCAUGUCAAGGUGUUGCUUUAGAUUUCUUUACUAGAUCCUCCCUUAAACCUCAAACAGUAUCAACUUACAAAAAUCUAAAUAAAAUAAAAUCACAACCACACUAAACUAACACCUUUUAUUUAUAUAUUUAAAAAAAUCUUAUUAGGAAAUACUGCCCAACUGAAUGUCAUUUCUUUAGUUUAACAGUGGCCCUUUUGUUUUAAAGACCCCAUGAAUUGGCUUGGUGACCAGCUUUCUUUUGUAUGCUGCUUCUGUUUCACAGCCAGACCACAAACCACAUAGCAAACCCAAACUUGACAGCUUGUACCAUGGCUGUGACCAAUAAAGGCAACUUCAAAAUAAAUAAGUUCUACCCAUGUGCUUUGUAAUCAGUUGAUGUUUUAGAAAAUAAAAGGAUGAGCCAUAUUUUGGCACUUCUUAUUACUAGAUGGAAAAAAGUAGUGUUUAUAAUUAAGAGGGAUGUUCUGGAGAGUAUUUUAUUGGACAAAAAUUAUAAACACCUCUGUGUACAAGACGAUUCGUCUGUUUAGUCUCAUAAAAGCUAGUCUUUAAUGUUGGCUUUUGCUUUUGGUAACAAAUAACAAACAGUAAUAUAAAUAGAAAAUGACUGAGGUAAGGGUAAAAAGUAGGGCAAAAUCAAUUUUAUAACCCUGUGCAAUUGAGUGCAACUUAAUGAGACUUCAUUACACCUACAAGCUUGUCAAUGAGAAUGAAGUCAAACAGUGGCGAGACCAAGCAGAAAAGUUCAGAAAAGAGCAUGUAGAGCUGAUGGCUCGGCUGGAAAGGAAAGAAAGAGAGUGUGAUACCAAGACACAAGAGAAGGAUGAUAUGAUGAAGACACUCAACAAGAUGAAGGACAAACUGAAGAAAGAAGGAGUGGAAUUGCACUCUGCCAGGGAGCAAGUAUUAGACCUUUCUACCUUCAUUAGCGACAUCUCAAAUUCAUUUAUAGAGUUCAUUUACCCAUUCCCCCUCCGCUUCCUGGGAGGCCGAUGGCUCCGCCUCCACCACCUAUGAUGAUGGAUAACUUCCUUCCUCCUUCUCCACCUAUUGCUUUUUCCAAUCCACCCCCCACCCCCCAACCUCCCCCAGGGGGUCCUCCAAUCCCACCUGGGGGCCCACCCAUCUUUUCUGUGAUUCCACCUCCAAAUGGACCUGCUUCCAUUAGCUCCACAUCCAGCCUAUGCACUAAAAGCAUCCCACAACCUUCACAACCACUAAAAUCCUUUAACUGGUCCAAACUGGGAGAGAAAGAAACAGGAUCAAUGGAUGACCUUUAUCUGAGCUCACGCAAAGUCAAAGAGCUGUCUGUUAUUGAAGGACGGAGAGCCCA